UACGAGAGGCCCAAACGUUAUUCGGAUUUACUGGGCUUAAAGAGUUCGUAGGCGGCGCGGAAAGUAGGGUGUGAAAAGCCCCUCGGCUCAACCCGAGGAAUUGCGCCCCUAAAACUGUCGCGCUCGAGGAACCUAGAGGUGAGCAGAACUGAUGGUGGAGCGGUGAAAUGCGUUGAUAUCAUCAGGAAUACCGGAGGCGAAGGCGGCUCACUGGGGUUAUCUGACGCUGAGGAACGAAAGCCAGGGGAGCAAACGGG
rnacentral:rRNA from 1 species